GCUGUGAGGAAAUUUCUGGAUUUGAUGGCACAAAAAUGAAAAGUCAUUCAUUUACCUCUAAGAAGUUCUGAGCUU
ensembl:snoRNA